rnacentral:ribozyme from 14 species
GUAAUUUGCCUUAAAUCCCGAGGGAUGAAACGCAGCAAACCCCAUAGCAACGGUAAACCAAAGCGUCGUAGCCAUAGCGCUUUUACUAAAACAAACCAACGAUAGAAGGCCAAUCGAAGAACCAAGAAA